UGGGGAAUAUUGCACAAUGGAGGAAACUCUGAUGCAGCGACGCCGCGUGAGCGAUGAAGGUUUUCGAAUCGUAAAGCUCUGUCCUAAGGGACGAUAAUGACGGUACCUUAGGAGGAAGCCCCGGCUAACUACGUGCCAGCAGCCGCGGUAAUACGUAGGGGGCGAGCGUUGUCCGGAUUUAUUGGGCGUAAAGGGUGCGUAGGCGGCCUUGUAAGUCAGAUGUGAAAUCUCACGGCUUAACCGUGGUAAGCAUUUGAAACUGUGAGGAUUGAGUACAGGAGAGGAGAGUGGAAUUCCUAGUGUAGCGGUGAAAUGCGUAGAUAUUAGGAGGAAUACCAGUGGCGAAGGCGACUCUCUGGACUGUAACUGACGCUGAGGCACGAAAGCGUGGGGAGCAAACAG
rnacentral:rRNA from 1 species